UAUGAAGGGUGCAAGCGUUACUCGGAAUUACUGGGCGUAAAGCGUGCGUAGGUGGUUCGUUAAGUCUGAUGUGAAAGCCCUGGGCUCAACCUGGGAAUGGCAUUGGAAACUGGCGACCUAGAGUGCGGUAGAGGGUAGUGGAAUUCCCGGUGUAGCAGUGAAAUGCGUAGAGAUCGGGAGGAACAUCUGUGGCGAAGGCGACUGCCUGGACCAGCACUGACACUGAGGCACGAAAGCGUGGGGAGCAAACAGG
rnacentral:rRNA from 1 species